CUGCUCUGCGUUGACCAAGUGUGAUGCCAAGAGAAGAGGCAGGCUCCAAAACAGGCUGCUGGUGAGUGCUGUGCAUGACUCGGGGUUCCUAGAAUGCCCACUCUUUCUUACUAACCCGUGUUGUUCAGCACCAAAUGUGAAGGCUGCUUCUUUCCUUCCAGGACUGGAGACUCCACCACCAGGUGCCGUUGUCAUUCUUGACCUCCCCGGGUUGCGGCGCUGGACGUGCCCUGAUCCUUGGAAAGGGGUAAGAGAGCUGUAUUUCAUUAGCAGCAGGUGAUCUCUACUUACCUUGUCUUGUGUCCAACAGGUGGCAGUGGAGAGUUGUGACACUCCCUGAGCGCUGCAAGGACUCUACUGAGGCUCUUGGUGGACACAGCAAGAACUCCCACCCAUAGAUGGAUGCCAAGAUCCGCUCCUUCUUCUGUCUGGCAAGCUCUGCUGACCCCUGAGGUCGUUCCCACGCUUGCAGAGGUUCUAUAGGCUUGGUGUCGCUUGUUGCUUGUGCUCACCUUGCUGUCACCGCGUGUUCUUCCUUUGCCCAUCUUUAGGGGUCCCCCAUUCUGACGGGAUCUCCGUGCCUUCUGCUGAUCCCAGAGAGCAUGGGUUUGUUCUCUUAUAGCCAGGUUCAGUAUCAUUUUUUCAUGUUACGCAUUCUUUCUCAUCCUUCCUCUCUUUUUUUUUUUUUUUUUUUUUCCCCUCCCCAGGCUGCCGGUUGAUCCGUCUUGUGUCUGCAAUAACCCGAACGUAGUCUAGUAAGGUUUGCUCAAGUGAGAUGGAAAAUGAAGAGGUCGGCUCCAAAACAAGCUUGUGACUGCUUUGCUUUGACAGAGGGAGAUGCAAAUAAAAGAGGAUUGGUGACUUCUCCACCAGCUGCUAUUGGCCGUCCGGACCUCUUUGGGUUGCAGUGUUAGAUGUGCUCUUGUAUGGGAACUGUUGAAUCACGGCCUGAACCUCUGAUUGACCACCCGAGGCGAGCGCUGAGUCAGCUGCAGGGGCACAGGUGAACACAGUU